GUAGUUUCUAUCUUUGCGCUUCCAAUCUUCGCAUCUUUCUUCGUCAGACGUAGUCGACGUGGCCGUCUCCGACCGUCGCCAACGUCACCGUCCUCCCGAUUCUGCAGUUAUGCAAGUUGCUGCAAGAAGAGCUUUGAAGGCCUUCCAAUUGCUAUCUGAAAGAGGCUGCACUUUGGGUCAGCUCGUGGUCUCUCGUUCUAAUCACCGGCUCUUGGCCACAAGUCCUGAUGAAGGGACUUCUAUGGAUUCCUUGGAGUUUGUGCGAUGGCAUAAUGGAGGUGGACUUUUUCACAAGUCUGCACACAUUGAUCCAACUGUACGUAUAGAAACUGGUGCAGUAGUACAUCCAGACUCUGUCCUUGAUGCAGAUGUUCAUGUUGGAUCUGGAACUAUUGUUGGGCCUUCUGUGUCUAUUGGGAAGUCAACAAAAGUAGGGUACAAUGUUGUCUUAAGCAAUUGUACUGUGGGCUUGUUCUGCAUAAUCCACAAUGGUGUCUGCAUUGGUCAAGAUGGGUUUGGAUUUCUUGUUGAUGAACAAGGACAUGUAGUGAAGAAGCCCCAAGUUCUGCAUGUAAGGAUUGGGGACCAUGUGGAGAUUGGUGCCAAUACAUGCAUAGAUAGGGGCAGCUGGAGAGAUACAGUUAUUGGAGAUCAUACCAAAAUAGACAAUCUUGUUCAGAUAGGUCACAAUGUAGUCAUUGGGAAAUGUUGCAUGCUGUGUGGACAAGUUGGCAUUGCUGGUUCUGUGACUAUGGGAGAUUAUGUCACUUUGGGAGGGAGAGUAGCUGUGCGAGAUCAUGUUUCCAUUGCUUCAAAGGGAGGUUGAUGGGUUCUUAAUUCAUGGACGUGAUACAUGAGGGGCCACUGCAAAUUCCAUAAAACACAUCCAGUAUACAUUUCUAAUCAGUGUGUUUCAUCUUAUGCCGGGAAUUUGUUCGACUGGCAGCAAAUAGCUCUGUCACAAAGGAUAUCAUGGAAUCGGGUGACUAUGGUGGUUUUCCAGCAGUCCCAAUCCAUGAAUGGCGCAGACAAUCUGCAAAACUGCACAGAUUUUACAGGAGCGAUGUGUCUUAGAGAAUAGCACGCUUGAUUUAGAACUCAUGCCUUGACUUCGUAUGAACAAAUUCGAAGUGUCAGUGCAAAUUGGGCUAAGAUCAGCUUUGCCACUAGGCUUGGAUGAAGAAGAAAACAGAUAGCAUAUAUGCAAAACAUGGAGUGAUUCAUCUUUUCAGUUUUCCUCCAACCGCACAUGGCAAAUAUCCCAGAUCAAUUGUUGCACUGUAACUCGAAGUCCAGUUGGCUGAGUCAUUAAAAUAAUCUGAAGUAGGAAGAUUAUACCAUAGAUGGUGUAUCAGGAUCACUUUUAUUCUGCUUCUCCAGCUAUUUGCUGUUCUAAGCCAAUUUAUCUUAUGGCUCUCCAAGCAGCCAACUUUUGAUCCCAUCACUAUUUUAAAAAAAAGAACAAUGGAAACAUGUAUAUUUCCUAUGACAUUUUGGGGUCCUUUGAAUCACAUAGAGUUAGCUAUCAUGAUAACGAGAAAGGUCCGUCAUCUUAAUACCAAACUCUAUAUUAGUAU